rnacentral:rRNA from 1 species
UACGGAGGGUGCUAGCGUUGUUCGGAAUCACUGGGCGUAAAGGGCGUGUAGGCGGUCUGUUAAGUCUGGUGUGAAAUCCCCCCGCUCAACGGGGGAACGGCGCCGGAUACUGGCAGACUCGAGUACCGGAGAGGAAGGUGGAAUUCCCGGUGUAGCGGUGAAAUGCGUAGAUAUCCGGAGGAACACCGGUGGCGAAGGCGGCUUCCUGGACCGAUUACUGACGCUGAGGCGCGAAAGCUAGGGGAGCAAACGGG